rnacentral:lncRNA from 1 species
GAGUGGCGCUGGGUAAGCACAGCAUGCAGAGCCGCCCCGCAUUGGCCUCCAGCAAACCCUAGGUCGAAAGUCCUGGACACUGUCAAAUGUUUCAGUGUCAAAAACAUAAAGAUUUGGAAGGGCAAACGAGACCAAAUUAGAUGUGCUUAUACAUCAGACUGCAUCCAAAAGCAUCGACCAGAACAAUAUGCGUGGUGUGGUGUUGAAGGUGGUGCUCGGUUUGACAGUAACUUCAGUUCCAGGGGCUCUACCACCCACUUCUCAACUCGGAGCACGAACAUGAAUAUUGAUGAGGAGACACAGCUGCUGGAGUUAAAAGCACAAAGACUGUUUUAAGUCAGUGCAGUGCAGUGCAGUGCUGUGCUCUUCGCAAAAGCUCGCCUCAGCAAAAGCUUGCCACCUCUACCCCAGGGCCAAGGAAACCCACUCUUCAGAAAGAAAGGUUCAUAGUUCUGAUGGAUACUUGGAAG